AAAAAAUUAGUUAAGUUUAACAUUAGUAUGUCAUACUAAAGACACUAGUAUCAAUCUAGUAUUUUUUA
rnacentral:tRNA from 1 species